GAGUGAGGAGGGCGGGGAGACAGCUGGCAUAGACACCUCUUCCUGCCCUCCAACCUGCUUCUCCCUGUUUCAGACUUUUAUUAUGUAGCCAUGGAUUUCGGAGGUCAUGGGCUUUCGUCCCAUUACCGCCCAGGUGUCCCAUAUUACCACCAGACUUUUGUGAAUGAGAUCCGAAGAGUUGUGGCAGGUAAGAAGCAGUGUAUUUUUCGGCACGAGGUUGCUCUGGGACACCCCCUCUUAGCAUUGGAGUCGGGGUAGGAUCCAGGAAGCUGCACUGGCCUGGGAGUGGGGCCUGGGCUCUGGCCCCAGGUCUGCUAGCAAUUCACGGGAGAUCUUAGGAAAGUUGAAGAGUUUGCUUCCUCCUGUGGGUCCCCCAAGCUGGUCUCCUGGGUGGACACCCCAGAUGCUGGGAAGGGAUUUCCUGAGCCCGGGGAGUAGAAGCGAGAGGGCGGGCUGAGCCUGUGCACAGCCGGACCUUCUGGCUCCUUGUGUUUCCAGCCUUGAAAUGGAAUCGAUUCUCCAUUCUGGGCCACAGCUUCGGUGAGUCCACUGACCAGCAGCCAAGUGGGCCUGGAGUAGGGCUGGGAGGGAAGGACAGGAACUGCUGCCCCACCGCUUUCCCCUGCGCUUAUGAGAUCUGCAAAGAGAGAUGAGAGCAUCAGAGAUUGACCACUGUACCCUCUGACCUCAGGCAACUGCUGCAAGGGACACAGAGAUGAGGGAAAUGUGGUCUUUUGAGUGGUCGGGUCUGAUGACAGGGCCAUCGUGGCCCAGAUAGUGAGCUCCCAGCCCCCCAUAUGGAGCCCCCCUCUCCCUCCGCCAUUCGUGGGAAGAAGCUUUAGGGUUUGCAGCUGGGGAGGGAGUGAGGGAAUGUCACCAAUGGCUCUUUUGUCCCCCAGGUGGCGUUAUGGGCGGAAUGUUUUCCUGCAUCUUCCCCGAGAUGGUGAAUAAACUUAUCUUGCUGGACUCGCCGCUGCUUCUCCUGGAAUCGAAUGUGAGAAGCAGGGCUUUCGUGCGUGCUGUCAUUAGGGAGGACCUGCACCCCGGGCAGUGCUCUCAGCCCUGUCUCCUUUGGUGGACACUAGGGAGGCAGGAGGAGGCGGCAGAGGGUGGGAAAGGGGAGUCAGGGACCCGCUCUCCACCAGAGGACAGCUCUCUGCUGCUUAUACCCCUAGGAGUGGUCAGGAGAAGGGGUGUGGGGGACCCCUUGGAAACUGGACGUGUGGCUUGGGAUCUGCAGAAUGCCAGGCUGAUCAUGCAGUGGCAGGGGUGGAAGAGGGCAGGAGCCAUGGCUGGAGGAUGUUGUAGGGCACACAGCUGGGCAGGCGCAGUGCACUCACACCCAGUCGAAUGCCUUUACACUGUGUACACGUUGCACCACCACACAUGACAGCCCUAAAAGUGAAUUGAUGGAACAAGUACUGACCUCUCUGGCCACGACUACCUAUAACCAGUACUGUCCCUGCAUCUGGGUCCUGGCCUGGUUGUUUACCUGCUGGGUGACCCUUGGCAAGUUACUUUGCCUCUCCGGGCCUUAGUUCCCGCUCCUGUAAAAUGAGGUUGGGCUGAAUGACGGCCAGCCCUGACAUCCUGUCAUUUUCUUGCCAAGGUCUCAGCCUCUCAGUUGUGACACAACUCCCAUCAGUUUCAGGUUU
rnacentral:lncRNA from 10 species